rnacentral:rRNA from 1 species
AGAAUCAACGCUGGCGGCGUGCCUAACACAUGCAAGUCGAACGAGAAAGUGGAGCAAUCCAUGAGUAAAGUGGCGACCGGGUGAGUAACACGUGACUAACCUACCUUCGAGUGGGGGAUAACCUCGGGAAACCGAGGCUAAUACCGCAUAACAUCGCAAGAUCAAAGCAGCAAUGCGCUGGAAGAGGGGGUCGCGGCUGAUUAGCUAGGUUGGCGGGGUAAUGGCCCACCGAAGGCGAAGAUCGGUA